UCUGAACUGUAACCCCUACCCCUGAUG
rnacentral:piRNA from 1 species